GACUUCGUAGCUCAGUUGGUAGAGCAGCUGACUCUUAAUCAGCGGGUCCAGGGUUCGAAUCCCUGCGGGGUCA
rnacentral:tRNA from 1 species